UACAGAGGGCGCGAGCGUUGUUCGGAAUUACUGGGCGUAAAGCGCACGUAGGCGGACAUUUAAGUCAGGGGUGAAAUCCCAGAGCUCAACUCUGGAACUGCCUUUGAUACUGGGUGUCUUGAGUAUGGAAGAGGUGAGUGGAAUUCCGAGUGUAGAGGUGAAAUUCGUAGAUAUUCGGAGGAACACCAGUGGCGAAGGCGGCUCACUGGCCCGGUACUGACACUGAGAUGCGAAAGCGUGGGGAGCAAACAGG
rnacentral:rRNA from 1 species